CACAUACCUGUGUGCCUAUGAGUUACUGGCCUCCUACUUGUGAAGGAAAUCUCACACUCUCCUCACCGCUUACAGCCAAAAAAAAAGACUGAUCUGGGGAAGAGUGGAAAAACAAUGACAAUAUAUCUUUCUUGCAUAAGACAAAGGUGUUGCCUACAAUAAAUUCACUGAGCAAGAAAUACAGACUUGUGUCCAGUGCUAUGAAAAUUAACCAAGGCACAUUAACUUCGGGAAAUCUUCAAAGAGAGAAGAUGACUUUUCAUGUUGUGAUCCAGUGCAGACUGCAAAUGACAGGCUUGCUCUCCUCUCUGCUUUGUAAGGGUUUAGCCGCUCGUGCAGGUGAGUUAAGCUAAAAUAGCUUUAUUGCUUGCCAGGUGCCAUAAGCUGGAAUUAACUCUUAUUUGCAGAAUCUCAGGCUGCCUAUAAAUGUUGCAAAAGCACCUGUGUUUGAUGACAGGAUGCAUAUGUCCUUGAUCUCUAGCAGCCAAGAUGCCAUCUAAUCGCUGCAUGGAUAUGUAUGGUAUUAAAUUAAGCUGGUGAGCUGAGGGGAAUGCAAUUUUUUUU
rnacentral:lncRNA from 1 species